GGCCGCGUAGUGUAGUGGUUAGCACGCAGGAUUUUGAUUAACAAAGUUUCCUGAGACCUGAGUUCAAUCCUCGGCGGGGCCU
rnacentral:tRNA from 1 species